CAAUAGCGUAUAUUAAAGUUGUUGCAGUUAAAAAGCUCGUAGUUGGAUUUCUGGUUGAAGCGACCGGUCGGGCGUUGAUUCGUCUGCACUGGAGUCGGUUUUGGCCAUCCUCUAGGAAAGUGCGUCUGGUAUUAAGUUAUCGGGCGUAUGAUCCUGGUCUUUUACUGUGAAAAAUUAGAGUGUUUAAAGCAGGCCUUCGCCUUGAAUACAUUAGCAUGGAAUAAUAAGAUAGGACUUUGGUCUAUUUUGUUGGUUUGCAGACCGAAGUAAUGAUUAAUAGGGAUAGUUGGGGGUAUUUAUAUUCCGAUGUCAGAGGUGAAAUUCUUAGAUUUUCGGAAGAUAAACUUAUGCGAAAGCAUUUACCAAGGAUGUUUUCAUUAA
rnacentral:rRNA from 1 species